rnacentral:lncRNA from 1 species
AAGAGUUAGCCAGACCCCAUAGGACUGAGCAGCAGAGAAUCAUAGAUUGGUUGUGGAAAGCCAAGGGAAGGAUCUCUGCCACCAUCUGCUGGAAGAGAGCGAGAAGGUCUCAUUGUGUCCUUCAGCUCCCCACUUCUCAGCAGAAACUUUAUGUACAAAAUUCUUCUGGACCCACAGCUACCAAUCUGCCUACAUGUGUGCCAUAGGAAUGAAGAGAGCAUGCAAGGAGACCUGGUGUUUAACUAAGUGUCUGCUCAUGUUACUGUAUGGUAAUAUCUGGAUUUCUGACCUGCCUACUAAAACAACAACAGCAACAACAAAAACUUAAUCCCACAAUAAUAAAUUCAGAUAAUGCAGUGUGAAUAUACUUUAC